rnacentral:rRNA from 1 species
AGAACGAACGCUGGCGGCGCGCCUAACACAUGCAAGUCGAGCGCCUCACUUUCGGGUGGGGAGCGGCGCACGGGUGAGUAACGCGUGGGAAUCUACCCUGGGGUUCGGGACAACGGCGGGAAACUGCCGCUAACACCGGAUACGGCCGUGAGGCGAAAGUUUACGCCCUGGGAUGAGCCCGCGUCCGAUUAGCUAGUUGGUGGGGUAACGGCCCACCAAGGCUGCGAUCGGUAGCCGGUCUGAGAGGAUGAUCGGCCACACUGGGACUGAGACACGGCCCAGACUCCUACGGGAGGCAGCAGUGGGGAAUCUUGGACAAUGGGGGCAACCCUGAUCCAGCGACGCCGCGUGGGUGAUGAAGGCCUUCGGGUUGUAAAGCCCUUUUGUCGGGGACGAUGAUGACGGUACCCGGCGAAUAAGCACCGGCUAACUCCGUGCCAGCAGCCGC